rnacentral:rRNA from 1 species
UACGUAGGGGGGCAAGCGUUUGUCCGGAAUCAUUGGGCGUAAAGCGCGUGUAGGCGGUUCGAUAAGUCUGCUGUGAAAGUCCAGGGCUCAACCCUGGAAAGCCGGUGGAUACUGUCGGACUAGAGUGCGGAAGAGGCGAGUGGAAUUCCCGGUGUAGCGGUGAAAUGCGCAGAUAUCGGGAGGAACACCAAUUGCGAAGGCAGCUCGCUGGGACGUUACUGACGCUGAGACGCGAAAGCGUGGGGAGCAAACAGG